AUUUUUUCUUCGUGAAGCGCACGUCCUUGAUCUGAAGUAGGGGCCGGGCAGG
rnacentral:lncRNA from 1 species